UUAAGGAAAGAGUAGGCUUAUAGCACGAAGGGUGCGGGGAGGAAAGUCCAGGCACUUUAGAGAAGGUAGCCUGCGUAAGCAGGUCGGGAGAGAUCCCAGGGAUAGUGGCACAGAGACAAUACAGCCCCGCACCCUUUGUUGACUGAUUAGCAUCAGGGUACGAUUUAUUUACAUACUUGGUUAUAAUAUCAAGUUUGAUAAUUAGGUCGGUAUAAGCCAAAAUGGCUUGUCAACAAAGGGUGCGGGGCAAUGGUGAAAAGAGUUGGUGUAAGAGACCACAAUCCGGCGCUGGAAGGCGCCGUGAGUGCAAAACUCCUGCUUGGUGCAAGUCGGGUGGGUCAAUAUUUUCAAGCAUGAACUCAUACUUCGAAAGAGGCAAAAGUUCUCCGCAGCUUUAUUCUAAAGCGAAGAUAUUGAUCCCGACGCGCCUAUAAUAGGCCCCUUAGGGGAGAUAAAUAGCCGCAUAAACAGAACCUGGCUUAUCGUCCAGUUGAGCAA
rnacentral:RNase_P_RNA from 1 species